ACGGUAACAGGAAGCAGCUUGCUGCUUUGCUGACGAGUGGCGGACGGGUGAGUAAUGUCUGGGAAACUGCCCGAUGGAGGGGGAUAACUACUGGAAACGGUAGCUAAUACCGCAUAACGUCGCAAGACCAAAGAGGGGGACCUUAGGGCCUCUUGCCAUCGGAUGUGCCCAGAUGGGAUUAGCUAGUAGGUGGGGUAACGGCUCACCUAGGCGACGAUCCCUAGCUGGUCUGAGAGGAUGACCAGCCACACUGGAACUGAGACACGGUCCAGACUCCUACGGGAGGCAGCAGUGGGGAAUAUUGCACAAUGGGCGCAAGCCUGAUGCAGCCAUGCCGCGUGUAUGAAGAAGGCCUUCGGGUUGUAAAGUACUUUCAGCGGGGAGGAAGGGAGUAAAGUUAAUACCUUUGCUCAUUGACGUUACCCGCAGAAGAAGCACCGGCUAACUCCGUGCCAGCAGCCGCGGUAAUACGGAGGGUGCAAGCGUUAAUCGGAAUUACUGGGCGUAAAGCGCACGCAGGCGGUUUGU
rnacentral:rRNA from 1 species